GCCUACGGCCAUUACCACCCUGAAAGCACCCGAUCUCGUCUGAUCUCGGAAGCUAAGCAGGGACGGGCCUGGUUAGUACCUGGAUGGGAGACCGCCUGGGAAUACCAGGUGUUGUAGGCU
rfam:Xenopus tropicalis strain Nigerian scaffold_392_contig_11, whole genome shotgun sequence.